rnacentral:tRNA from 1 species
AGAAAUAUAGUUUAAGAAAAAUAUUUAUUUUGCAAAUAAAAGAUAAAUAAUAAAUUAUUUUAUUUUUA